rnacentral:rRNA from 1 species
GACGAACGCAGGCGGCGUGCUUAACACAUGCAAGUCGAGCGGAGCGGCGAACGGGUGAGUAACGCGUGAGUAACUGCCCCCCUCUCUGGGAUAACAGUUGGAAACGGCUGCUAAUACCGGAUAGUGGGGGAUGACUCGCGUCCUAUCAGCUAGUUGGUGAGGUAACGGCUCACCAAGGCCACGAUGCAUAGCCGACCUGAGAGGGUGAUCGGCCACACUGGGCUGAGACACGGCCCAGACUCCUACGGGGGGCAGCGGUAGGGAAUCUUCGGCAAUGGACGAAAGUCUGACCGAGCAACGCCGCGUGCGGGAUGACGGCCUUCGGGUUGUGAACCGCUUUCAGCCAUGACGCGGUAGUGGCAGAAGAAGCACCGGCUAACUACGUGCCAGCAGCCGCGGUAAUAC